rnacentral:rRNA from 1 species
GCAUAUCACUAAGCGGAGGAAAAGAAACUAACUAGGAUUCCCCCAGUAACUGCGAGUGAAGAGGGAAGAGCUCAUCAUUGGAAUCUGGCAGUGUUGCACUGUCCGAGUUGUAGAUGAGGAGUAGUCCAUCUGGACUGCAUGGCGUCCAAGUACAAUAGGCCGUCAGUGGGACAUCAUAGAGGGUGACAAUCCCGUCCUUGAUGCCAAUGUGCAAGUUCAUUACGAUGGCUAUCUCAGAGAGUCGAGCAGUUUGGGAUUUGCUGCUUAAACAUGGGAGGUAGAUUCCUUCUAAAGCUAAAUACAGGCGAGAGACCGAUAGAGAACAAGUACCGCAAGGGAAAGAUGAAAUAGCACUCUGUGAAGGGAGUCAAAAAGGCGUGAAAUUGUUGCGAGAGAAGCGAUUCAAGUCAGCGUAGCUAGGCCCAUCAAGCCUCUUUGCUUUGGACUAGCUUUGCCAGCGGUCUUGUCCUUAAGAGACUUGACUUUGUAAAUGUCCAGUCUGGUAUGCACAGGCAGCUCCUCUUGGGGGGCCAGUGACAUGGCUGGUGGAAUGGCUUGCAAUCGACCCGUCUUGAAACACGGACCAAGGAGUCUAACAUGUAUGCGAGUAUAAGGGUGGCAAACCCGUAUGCGCAAUGAAAGUGAUUUUCGAUGAUUGAGAAUGGCCUGAUGACCAGACAAGCAAUAUUAUGUCCCUCGUACGGCCAUUGCCCAAGUUCCGUGGUAGAUCCCAUGAACAUGGAGUUGGAGCAUACAUGCUAGGACCCGAAAGAUGGUGAACUAUGCCUGGACAAAGCGAAGCCAAAGGAAACUCUGGUGGAGGCUUGUAGCGAUUCUGACGUGCAAAUCGAUCG